rnacentral:tRNA from 2 species
GGACCCGUGGGGUAGCGGAUAUCCCGGAGGCCUUCGGAGCCUCAAACCCGGGUUCAACUCCCGGCGGGUCCG